rnacentral:misc_RNA from 1 species
AAAGUCGUAACAAGGUCUCCGUUGGUGAACCAGCGGAGGGAUCAUUACGAGAGUGUCGCCACUCCCAACCACUGUUUACCUACCCGUCCACUGUGCCUCGGCAGGCAGCCCUGUGGGACAGGGCCUCGCCCCCCGUUGCGGGGGGUGCCUGCCGCUGGCCGACCUAAACUCCAGCUGUCUUGUACCGUCUGAGUAUACCACAAAUGAACAAAACUUUCAACAACGGAUCUCUUGGUUCUG